GUGCGGGGCUGGCCCUGCGGGUCCCUGCGGCGCAGCAGCCCCGGCCCCGCCGCCGCCUCAGCCGCCUCUUCCCGCCCUUUGUCCCGCCCCUUUUUCUCCCCUCAGGGCCCGGCGGCCCCUCAGCGUCUCCCGCCGCCGCUGCCCCUGCCCUGCGCCGCGCUGGCGGGACUGCGAACGGGGACUUUAUACCGCAAAAACACUCUUCUCUAAAAUAAUGUGUGUUGACAAGUAACUCUGGAACCUUUUCAGUGAUUCUCUGCCACAGUUCGCACACAAAAGGAAACUGACCAACGGGACACAAAAGCCCAAGCAUUCAUGACCCUCCCUAACGGAACAAGCACGGCUUUCCAGAAGAAUUGACAUCACGGAAAAUAAGUUUAGGGUCUGAAGGGUCAAAUACAACCGACACGUGUGAUCACAUUCGUCCUCGGCCAGAGAGUUGUCCCUGACCUCAGGAUUUAUGGACCUGACAUCUUCAACACCUGCAGAGAGUCCACAACCGUACUGGCUUCUCCAGCUCCUGAAUUCCAACCCAUCCACAACGAAGGAGCCUGCACUAGACUCCAUGUCCUGAACCUUGUGCAGCUGAACUACUGCCGUGCCACCAUCAAGGUCUGAAAAUCUCACCUUUCUGGAACCACGUACAGAUGCCCGAUCGCUGCUGCACAAAGCCAACCCCCAUGCUGUUCUUCCCUGACAUCUCCUCUGCCAGGAGUUCCCUUCCUGAUGAUUCUAAUGCUGAAACAGGUCAAUUGUUGACCACAACUUUCAAUAAAGCGCCUUAGCAUGGAUUAA